rnacentral:rRNA from 1 species
AGCAGCCGCGGUAAUUCCAGCUCCAAUAGCGUAUAUUAAAGUUGUUGCAGUUAAAAAGCUCGUAGUUGAAUUUCGGGAUCAGAGUGUCGGUCGUGCCUCGGUACGCACUGGUAUUAUUGGUUCCUACCUUCUGAAGAACCGCGAUGUCAUUAAUUUGGUGUCGUGGGGAAUCAGGACUGUUACUUUGAAAAAAUUAGAGUGUUUAAAGCAGGCUUACGCUUGAAUACAUUAGCAUGGAAUAAUGAAAUAGGACGUUUGAUUCUAUUUUGUUGGUUUCUAGGAUUGACGUAAUGAUUAAUAGGGAUAGUUGGGGGCAUUAGUAUUCAAUUGUCAGAGGUGAAAUUCUUGGAUUUAUUGAAGACUAACUACUGCGAAAGCAUUUGCCAAGGAUGUUUUCAUUAAUCAAGAACGAAAGUUAGGGGAUCGAAGACGAUCAGAUACCGUCGUAGUCUUAACCAUAAACUAUGCCGACUAGGGAUCGGAUGAUGUUAAUUUUUAAAUUUGACUCAUUCGGUCGGCC